UACGGAGGGUGCAAGCGUUAUCCGGAUUCACUGGGUUUAAAGGGUGCGUAGGUGGGUUUGUAAGUCAGUGGUGAAAUCUCCAAGCUUAACUUGGAAACUGCCGUUGAUACUAUAAAUCUUGAAUGUUGUGGAGGUGAGCGGAAUAUGUCAUGUAGCGGUGAAAUGCUUAGAUGAUGAACAUAGAACACCAAUGGCGAAGGCAGCUCUCUGGGACGGUACUGACACUGGAGACGCGAAAGCGUGGGGAGCGAACAGG
rnacentral:rRNA from 1 species